CACAAUAGAAGGGAGGAAUACCAUCACAAAGAACCUGGACAUGCUUAAAAAGCGGGCACAUGAGAACAUGUUGAGGAUCAACGUGGGCAAGUGCAAGGUGCUGCACUUGGAUCAAGGCAGUUGCUGAUGUGAUUAUGGACUGGGAGAACUCACUGAGAACAACCCUGCCAAGAAGGACUUGGAGAUCCUAGUGGAUGAAAAUCUCAAGCCAGCAGUGUGCUCUUUGCAGCCUGGAAGGCCAAUGAUUGAAGUCCAACUUUACUUGUCACUAAGAUUUUUCUUCUGUGGAGAAGAAUCCAGAAAAAAGAUUCAUACUGAGCAAUGAUUGUUUCAUUCCUUGGGAACUGAAGCAGCUGGAGAAUACUUUGAGAAAGGACGUCCCAAGGUCACAGUGACAGAAAUGGUCCUUCCCAAGUCAUGUCAUCUGCUGCCAAGCCAAAUGUCUUUCCUGUGAUUGAAUGGGUACAACCAGCCAAAGCGAGUCUCCACUCCUCCCUGUGACUGCCUCCAUCUGUGCUGUUGUGCUGGGUCACUUCUCUAAAAUCUGCAGCUGUCCCCAAGCUUUGUCUCACAUAUUUGUUUGUCACACAAGUAUUUUUCCACCUGAUGGGUCCAUUGGCAGACAGCCCUUGCAUUUGAUCUCUUGGUUGUGUUCCAGAGAUCAUUCCUCUGACAAGUACCAUCUCAGCACCAAGACCAAAUGUUGGCUGGGACUCUCACUGCAGCCUGCUGUGUCUGGGGGAAGAGAAACUAUAGCAUCACUGCACUGCAUCUCAAAGGCAAGAGGAGGAUUGUGUCUUUCCAGCCCUGUAUGGUGGUGCCCACGGCCAUAGUGUGCUGCAGCAGCUGCUGGUGGUGGCCUGGGGCUAAUUCUGGAACUACUCCACACACAGAGAAUUCAUAACAUUGAGCUCUGGCUUUCCACAAAAUGUGACCUAGAUAGUAAAGCUUCUCUUUGUUGCCUGUCCUUUUCCAAGCUGAGGAAGCAUGCACCAGGAAACAUCCCACCCUUUCCUGAUGAGAACAGAACAAAUAACAGAGCAUUCUCCUUCAUCCUUAGUACCUAUCUGCUUGAGUUUUUGGCUUUGCCGCUACUAUAGACACAAAGUCUUUGUAGAACAUGGGCUGUAAAUUCAAGUAACAUUAGCUAAGAGAAGUAUUAACUAUUUUGUUUGUCACAUUUGAAUUAAUGAAUGAGUCAUUUUCUUUCUCCAAAAAGUGUUCAGUAUGGAAAUGUGACUUCUGGAAAUGCAAAAAGCUGAAACAAUAUAUUAGGCAAUCAUAUACAAAUUAAGAUUUGCUCAGGUGCAAUUAAGAACAGAAGAGACAAACCUGUAUACAGAACUGAUUUACAGUCAAAUUCACCUGCCUGGAAAGCCCAGAUUAGGUUGCAUGUUGAUUAUUAAACCGGUGUUUCAGUGCUGGUGGAUUACCAGGUUAUCAGAGAGGUGCAAAUAGGCUGAUAAUGUGGAAAGAUCUUCUUAAAGUGGAAUAUACUAACAGUAGGGUUAGAGUGGGAUGGGAUAAGUUGCAGCAAACGGCAAGAAUUGAAGACAUGUUUCCUAUACUCAUACAUGCAGAAAAGCAAGCCAUAUGCACUACUGGAAGUAGACUGUCUAGCUUUUACGGUACUGCACAGAUAGAUAAAGAAUAUUCUUUAUUUUGAAGAAUUCAUACUUGCAAUGUGGAAGUAAAUCCAAAAAUCUAUUAGAAUGUACAAAAGAUACUGGGAAGUUGCAUGAGGAUGUGCAGUCAUCAUAAACUUCUAAAUGUACCUGACUCUAAAUAAGAGUUACAAGUCAAGCUAGAUUUCCUGCAACUCGAAAACUUUGAUAAAUACCAUUACAGAAACAGACCAGUUCAAAUCUUUACUUCACCACUGCACCAAUAAAUCAAACUUAAUUUCAACAAACUUUCAGAAAUUGAGAAAGAAAGUAAAGAAUCUAAAUGUGAUUUGAGAAAUUUUCUGUCUUCCUUACAAUUAAUUAAUACCCAAAGCAUAUAACAACCAGCAGAUGUCUCUGCAGUCAUCAGAUCAGUGGUACACACAGGAGGAAAAGCAGGGAGGGAGAAAUUGAUGAGUGGGUAUUUCUCUUGGAGAAGUCUUUCAGAAAUGUCAAGCCUACAUAGAAGAUUCUGAAAGAACAUUGGCAGCAGAAUGGUAGCACUCCCUAGGAUGAAAACACCACCUUACUUGGAUUUACAAUUUGGACAACAAAUGCCUGAGAGUACUAUCAGAUGGGUUAAUCUGAAAUGGAAUUUUUUAUCUUUGUCAUCUUUGCCUGUAUUUUUGAGGCUUUUUUCAUUAUCAUUUACAGAUGUUCCAUGCAGGCAAGCUUGCCUUUGCCAUCCUGGGAACUGGCUUGUGACUGUGGAAUAGACUUCUGCAACAGUGGAAAGCUGUCAUAAGCAUCCCCUGCUGCGUUCCAGUGCAAGGCAUGCAGCUUCAGUCAUUCCUUCACUAAAAUAGACACCACAACAUGUCCAAAAAUAGUAUAUGCUGUAGCAAAACAAGACAUCUGCUGUACCUAGAAUUCCCUCCAUGGGGAUGAGCUGAGCAGGAAAAUGAACAAGAUGAUCGUCACGAGUCAUGCUAGUUAAUGCACUCUGGUAAGGCACUUAAUGUUAUGACAGUCAGAGCAGCAGAAACAGCAACUAUCUGAUAAUAAAGUGUGUUU